rnacentral:rRNA from 1 species
GAUGAACGCUGGCGGCGUGCCUAAUACAUGCAAGUCGAGCGAACAGACGAGGAGCUUGCUCCUCUGACGUUAGCGGCGGACGGGUGAGUAACACGUGGAUAACCUACCUAUAGGACUGGGAUAACUUCGGGAAACCGGAGCUAAUACCGGAUAAUAUAUUGAACCGCAUGGUUCAAUAGUGAAAGACGGUUUUGCUGUCACUUAUAGAUGGAUCCGCGCCGCAUUAGCUAGUUGGUAAGGUAACGGCUUACCAAGGCAACGAUGCGUAGCCGACCUGAGAGGGUGAUCGGCCACACUGGAACUGAGACACGGUCCAGACUCCUACGGGAGGCAGCAGUAGGGAAUCUUCCGCAAAGGGCGAAAGCUUGACGGAGCAACGCCGCGUGAGUGAUGAAGGUCUUCGGAUCGUAAAACUCUGUUAUUAGGGAAGAACAAAUGUGUAAGUAACUAUGCACGUCUUGACGGUACCUAAUCAGAAAGCCACGGCUAACUACGUG